GAGCACAUACAGAAGCAGCUUAAAAGAGACUGUCCUUCAUUUAACAGAUAAAAAUGGUAUGCACUGGAUUCCAGGUGUGGACACUAUUGCAGUACAACAGCAAAGACAACAACUCAGUCAAUAUAAUAUGUCAACAUAAUGCACUGGAAAACUGGACUAUUCGUGCCGAAGUGCUCAUGAAUAAUGAAAACUUUUGCAAUGCAAAGCAAAACAACACAGCAUGUGAAAUGAGACAAGAAGGAAAACAGUUCAAUUUUACACUGAAAAUUACUGCUGAGCAAAGAAGACUUCCUUUUAAUUGUUUGGUUUACAAAAGUGGACCACUCCCCAUCCAAUUGAGAAAGGGAGAAGAAAUGAUGCUGUUCCCAGGAUGCGAUAUUCCACCUCCGAUACCUACGAACUCAAGCAAAUGCUUGGAUGUGGGCAGUGAUUGCGCUCAUACUGCUCUAGUCGGUUUACUCACCUGGGCUCUGAUUGGAUUUGUGCUUCUGCUGUUUCUCUACAGUUUCAUUAUUACUGUUGUUUAUAUCAAACUAAGGCUCGCGAUUUCUGAAGAGCUAACAUUAACCUAUGUUCCAAUGC
ensembl:lncRNA